UGGGGGAUAUUGCACAAUGGGCGAAAGCCUGAUGCAGCGACGCCGCGUGGGGGAUGAAGGCUUUCGGGUUGUAAACCUCUUUCGCUAUCGAACAAGGCCCGCUUAGGGUGGGUUGAGGGUAGGUGGAGAAGAAGCGCCGGCUAACUACGUGCCAGCAGCCGCGGUAAUACCUAGGGCGCGAGCGUUGUCCGGAAUUAUUGGGCGUAAAGGGCUUGUAGGCGGCUUGUUGCGCCUGCUGUGAAAACGCGGGGCUUAACUUCGCGCGUGCAGUGGGUACGGGCAGGCUUGAGUGUGGUAGGGGUGACUGGAAUUCCAGGUGUAGCGGUGGAAUGCGCAGAUAUCUGGAGGAACACCGAUGGCGAAGGCAGGUCACUGGGCCAUUACUGACGCUGAGGAGCGAAAGCAUGGGUAGCGAACAGG
rnacentral:rRNA from 1 species